CAAGGUGCGUUUUUAGUGAUGUGGCAGAAAGAUGCACUGAAAGCGCGCCUUGUUGGACGCGUUUUCACCUGAUGAAAACCCGUCCAACAAGGCGCGUUUUCAAUGCGUCUUUCUGCCAUAUCAUUGAAAACGCGUGCCUAG
rnacentral:pre_miRNA from 1 species